rnacentral:rRNA from 1 species
CAGCCGCCUCGGUAAUACAGAGGGUGCGAGCGUUAAUCGGAUUUACUGGGCGUAAAGCGUGCGUAGGCGGCUUCUUAAGUCGGAUGUGAAAUCCCUGAGCUUAACUUAGGAAUUGCAUUCGAUACUGGGAAGCUAGAGUAUGGGAGAGGAUGGUAGAAUUCCAGGUGUAGCGGUGAAAUGCGUAGAGAUCUGGAGGAAUACCGAUGGCGAAGGCAGCCAUCUGGCCUAAUACUGACGCUGAGGUACGAAAGCAUGGGGAGCAAACAGGAUUAGAUACCCCCGUAGUCCCUGUCUCUUAUAC